rnacentral:tRNA from 1 species
AGAAAGAUAAGCUAAUUAAGCUAAUGGGUUCAUAUCCCACUUAUAGAGGUUAAAUUUAAAUCCUCUUCUUUCUA